AGCGAACGCUGGCGGCAGGCUUAACACAUGCAAGUCGAACGCAUCCUUCGGGGUGAGUGGCAGACGGGUGAGUAACACGUGGGAACGUACCCUUCGACCGGGGAUAACUUCGGGAAACUGGAGCUAAUACCGGAUACGCCCUCUGGGGGGGCGGAUUACGGUCGAAGGAUCGGCCCGCGUCUGAUUAGCUAGUUGGUGGGGUAACGGCCUCCCAAGGCGACGAUCAGUAGCUGGUCUGAGAGGAUGAUCAGCCACACUGGGACUGAGACACGGCCCAGACUCCUACGGGAGGCAGCAGUGGGGAAUAUUGGACAAUGGGCGCAAGCCUGAUCCAGCCAUGCCGCGUGAGUGAUGAAGGCCUUAGGGUUGUAAAGCUCUUUUGUCCGGGACGAUAAUGACGGUACCGGAAGAAUAAGCCCCGGCUAACUUCGUG
rnacentral:rRNA from 1 species